rnacentral:rRNA from 1 species
UACGGGAGGCAGCAGUGAGGAAUAUUGCACAAUGGGCGCAAGCCUGAUGCAGCCAUGCCGCGUGUAUGAAGAAGGCCUUCGGGUUGUAAAGUACUUUCAGUCGUGAGGAAGGUGUUAAGGUUAAUAACCUUAGCAAUUGACGUUAGCGACAGAAGAAGCACCGGCUAACUCCGUGCCAGCAGCCGCGGUAAUACGGAGGGUGCGAGCGUUAAUCGGAAUUACUGGGCGUAAGGGCACGCAGGCGGUUAAUUAAGUUGGAUGUGAAAUCCCCGGGCUUAACCUGGGAAUGGCAUUCAAGACUGGUUAGCUAGAGUCUUGUAGAGGGGGUAGAAUUCCAUGUGUAGCGGUGAAAUGCGUAGAGAUGUGGAGGAAUACCGGUGGCGAAGGCGGCCCCUGGGACAAAGACUGACGCUCAUGUGCGAAAGCGUGGGGAGCAAACAGGAUUAGGAUACC